UUUAGGGUUGUAACGGGGCUUUGGUUUAGGUAGGGUAUGAAAUUUGAACAAAGUUUUUUUUUCUUUUUUUCUUUUGGGUUGUAACGGGGUGUUGGUUUAGGUAGGCUAUGAAAUUUGAACAAAGGUUUUUUUGGUUCAGAGUACAUGAAAUCAUUUUCUCACUACGUUUCUUUUCUAUUAUUCCUGUAAGGUUAUGCAAUCCUCUUUUCCUUUUAUCUAUAGUGAAUGUAGCCUCUUUCAAAAGCUGUUCUUUUAUUGUUUUUCGCUUUUCUCUUUCUUUCUUUUCAUGUUGUUGUUGUUUUUUUUUCUUUUUUCUCUUUUCUUUUUUUUUUUCUCUUUUUUUUUUCUUUUAU
rnacentral:lncRNA from 1 species